AUGACUAUGUGGGGAUGCAGCAGCAAAGCAUGCACAGAGGCCUUCCCCACCCAGGUCAGGCCAGCCACAUGCUUAGCUACAGCGCCUAGAAGCAGAGGAGUUCUGGAGCCAACUCCAACACAGGGUAACAUUCACAGCAGCAGCGGCGGCAACAACCCCUACAGGAAGGACGCUAUGGAUUAUUAUUUUUCAAUGGGUGGAAAGGACAGACACAGACGAGGAGGGAUGAGUUAUGGCGGAGGUUUUGGGUAUCCCGGUAUUGAUGGGCAUGUAUCCCACCAGUACCGGCACCCUGGACCUAGUUCUGCCCCGUCUUCUGGCCUGAUGUCGCCUUAUCCAGUAGACUACGGUUCAAGUGCUGGAUCAGGCGGAGGUGCAGGAGCUUUCUCUCCUUCUCAUCAGUACAGUAUGAAUCAGAGCCCGUCGAUGCAGCCAGGAGCUCAGAUGUCGCACCGCCAGAAUUUCCCUGCUGUCCACCACGGACAGCAGCAUCGCAGCUAUCCACACUCCGGGCACAGGAUGACCCCGCAGUACCCACAGUACUCUCCACAGGGUGGAGCCUCCACAGGGUCGUCAGGAAUGUAUAGCCCUCCUCUUCAGCGGUAUCUGGAUGGAGCUGCUGCCACUGGCUUUGAUCCCAAAGUCAACAGCUCUCCCAGUGUCAACUCGAGCCUAAACUCUGUGUCAAGUUCAGUUGCUGCUAACAAUGUGGGGCUAACGGAGACUGUUCCGCAGAGUUACCACGCUUCAAACUAUCCAGGAUAUUCCCCACAGUCACUCCACAAACAAGCCACGCUACAGCACCGCAACUCGCAGCACAGUUUAGGUCCAGCUUACGACAACCCUCUCAAAAUGCAGCACCAGGGUCCAUCUCCAAGCUCUGCUUAUGCAAAGCAUCAUCAAGCCUCUAAUGCCAGUAUAAGCCAACCAGCAUCUCAAGAAAUGGUAAAAUCCCCAAUGAAUCCCAACUCACAGCAAACCCAGAUUAACCAAAACUUCAGCCCAAUCUCCAACCCCUCCCCAGCUGCCUCUGCAUUGCAUUCACCAAGCUGUAGCUCCUCUCCAUCCCCAUUGAUGGGGAUUUCAGACGCACACGGAAACCCCCCGGGUCUCAGCUCUUCACAUCCUUCUUCGUCAAACCCUCGUAGCAGCCAUAGUCAAGGUAGAUUACUGCAGACUAUGCCUCAGUUGAGCCCCACACCCAACUCCAAUAGCAGCAUCAGUAGUUCUGGUAGUAGUGGCAGCCAUAAAGCUCACAGCGUGAAUUCCAUCGGAGGCAGCAAUCUUCCUCCAACUGGUCGCAACAAAAUGAGUCAAGGCGCGGGGAUCACAUCCCGCGAGGAGUACUCGGCUUCCGCGCUUGAUAAAAUGCAAGAUGCCGGUCUGAAUAGUCUUAAUGCCUUGAGCUCACAAGUAGCCAAUAUACCAAACACUGUUCAGCACAUGCUCCUCACGAACACAGUGCUCUCACAAAAGAAGAAAGAUGUGGGACAGAUGCAUCAGGCCACACACGCUGCUCCGCAGUCCCAACCGAGGAGUCGAAAUGAAAGUGUUGCCUCGAGUGCCAGCACAGUCAAAGACGGAAGCGUAGUCGGGACCUCUGAUGGCGCCACCCUUGAUGUCGGUGUUGAUGAAGACUCUUCUUUAGCGUCAGGUGGAGCCUCAUCAGGGACCAAAAUGGAACGAGAAGAGCAGCUUUCUGAGGGAGAGCAUCAGAGAGUGAGGCAGAUGAGCGGUGCGAGCAGUGGUGGGAACAGCCGGUCUUGCUAUAAAUAUCAAGGCACGCACGACAGCCGGAAUUAA
rnacentral:lncRNA from 1 species